GUGAGGAAUAUUGCGCAAUGGAGGCAACUCUGACGCAGCCAUGCCGCGUGCAGGAAGAAGGCGCUACGCGUUGUAAACUGCUUUUAACCGGGAAGAAACCCCAGGACGUGUCCUGGGUUGACGGUACCGGAGGAAUAAGCACCGGCUAACUUCGUGCCAGCAGCCGCGGUAAUACGAAGGGUGCAAGCGUUAUCCGGAUUCAUUGGGUUUAAAGGGUGCGUAGGCGGAGCGUUAAGUCAGUGGUGAAAUCCUGCAGCUUAACUGUAGACUUGCCAUUGAGACUGGCGCUCUUGAGUGCGCUUGAAGUGGGCGGAAUGUGCCGUGUAGCGGUGAAAUGCUUAGAUAUGGCACAGAACACCAAUUGCGAAGGCAGCUCACUAAGGCGAUACUGACGCUGAGGCACGAAAGCGUGGGGAUCGAACAGGAUUAGAAACCCUUGUAGUCC
rnacentral:rRNA from 1 species